rnacentral:rRNA from 1 species
CCUACGGGAGGCUGCAGUGGGGGAUAUUGCACAAUGGGGGAAACCCUGAUGCAGCGACGCCGCGUGGGCGAAGAAGUCUUUCGGUAUGUAAAGCCCUAUCAGCAGGGAAGAAGAAAUGACGGUACCUGAGUAAGAAGCACCGGCUAAAUACGUGCCAGCAGCCGCGGUAAUACGUAGGGUGCAAGCGUUAUCCGGAUUUACUGGGGGUAAAGGGAGCGCAGGCGGCACGGCAAGCCUGAUGUGAAAGCCCGCGGCCCAACCGCGGGACUGCAUUGGGAACUACCGGGUUGGAGUGCCGGAGAGGUAGGCGGAAUUCCUAGUGUAGCGGUGAAAUGCGUAGAGAUUAGGAGGAACACCAGUGGCGAAGGCGGCCUACUGGACGGUGACUGACGCUGAGGCUCGAAAGCGUGGGGAGCAAACAGGAUUAGAUACCCUAGUAGUC